rnacentral:rRNA from 1 species
GAUCCCUACGGGGCGAAGCAGUGGGGAAUAUUGCACAAUGGGGGAAACCCUGAUGCAGCGACGCCGCGUGAGUGAAGAAGUAUUUCGGUAUGUAAAGCUCUAUCAGCAGGGAAGAAAAUGACGGUACCUGACUAAGAAGCCCCGGCUAACUACGUGCCAGCAGCCGCGGUAAUACGUAGGGGGCAAGCGUUAUCCGGAUUUACUGGGUGUAAAGGGAGCGUAGACGGCAGAGCAAGUCUGAAGUGAAAGCCCGCGGCCCAAC